CCGAAACUGUAACAAUGAUCGCGGUAAGUGUGUAGAUAUUUAGUUUACGGAGUCGAUGUUAUAUAAAUUUAAUUUUAUUAGUUACCUAUCAAUCAUGAACGGUAAUUAUCGUGUACUGACUGUAGUUGUAUCGUCGGAAGUAAGUUCGAUAAGGCAGUCGUCAGAAAACGAAAAUCAACUAACACCACACACCACACUGACGUCACAAAAUGUCCGAAAGCAGAUGUGAAGUAUUUACCACGGUUUAAGAUAAUAUAUUAUCUUAAACCGAGGUGAUAACACGGAACAAUAGUGAUAACAUUUCUCAAUGGUGAUAACAUGGUGCACCAUAUUAUAUUAUAAUAUAUAAUAAUAAUAAACUAAAUAAACUAAA